AGCAAAGCAGUAGAGAACAAGAGAGAAAGAGGGGCUGCCAAGGGCAGCUACCUUGCUGUCAUUGCAGCAGCUGCAAAUGCAGCAAUAAGAGCUGGGAGUUGAGUUUGAGUAAAGUAAUCUUCCUCCUCCAUGUAUUUGUAUUGUAUUCUUUCUCUAUCUCUAAUAAUAUGAACUAUUUCCCGUGGAUGUAGGCAAUUUGCCGAACCACGUUAAAUAUUGUGUCUCAAUGUGUUUAGCCUCCAACGGACAACUAUCAGAACAUCACCAGUUCGCACAUGAGGAGACGGAAUCCCCAACAAUUAUUGCAUCACAACUUUUCAUGGACCGGUAUAUUAGUGAAUGGAGGUCUUCACUUCUUUAGUUCUUUUAUUAUUGGAAGAGCAACUACGUCAAUAGUCGGUACUGUACUGCUGCUCGACAAAAAGUUGCUUCGGUAGGAAAAUAUACGUCCAAGCCAAAUUCCAAGUCUCGCUUUGGGGUAGCUUAGACAAUGGUGUGCAGCCCGACCAUAAAAGAAAAUGAAAUUUUUUAAGCUAAUUACCCACCAACAUGAUCUUGAGAAGAGCACGUGAUGUGCAUAUGCAGGGCUA
rnacentral:lncRNA from 1 species